rnacentral:rRNA from 1 species
UACAGAGGGGGCGAGCGUUGUUCGGAAUUACUGGGCGUAAAGGGCUCGUAGGUGGCCAACUAAGUCGGACGUGAAAUCCCUCAGCUUAACUGGGGAACUGCGUCCGAUACUGGAUGGCUUGAGUUUGGGAGAGGGAUGCGGAAUUCCAGGUGUAGCGGUGAAAUGCGUAGAUAUCUGGAGGAACACCGGUGGCGAAGGCGGCAUCCUGGACCAACACUGACACUGAGGAGCGAAAGCCAGGGGAGCAAACGGG